rnacentral:rRNA from 1 species
AACUCUUAGCAGUGGAUCACUUAGCUCGUGCGUCGAUGAAGAAGGCAGCUAGAUGCGAGAACUAUUGUGAAUUGCAGGACACAUUGAUCAGACACUUUGAACGCACCUUGCGGCCCCAGGGUCCUCUGAGGGCCGCUUUGCCAUCAAUUGGA